rnacentral:lncRNA from 1 species
GGGGUCCCCAGAGCCGGCACACCAAGUGGCACAAAGCAAGCUGAUGCUCAAGUGUCAGCCCUGUUCCGAGGGCUUUGCCCCUCACACAACCCUGUGAGGAAGGUCCUGUCACUCGCUCUGUUUUACAAAUGAGGCAGAGACACAGGAAGUGACUUGCCCAAUGUCACACGGUUAUUAGGUGCUGGAGAGGCACUCAAAGCCGGGUGGCCAGCUCUGAGAGUCCCAAGUAACCACUGUGCCUGCUGCUCAAAUGAACUGAAUUCAGUUGAAUGGAAAGUCAGGAAAGUGGCGAGCUUAAAAGAAGGCAGAAAAGGAUUUGGCUUAAUUCUACUCAUCUCCAAAAUAAAAGCCGAUUUGUUCGAUUCUCCCCUCCAUCUCAGCAGUGUCCAGCGACAUUUCCAUGAGUGCAGAGAGACAAACAUCCUCUCCUGCCCACUCUUCCCGAAUCCCCGCUCUGCAUCCACCUGCGUGCGUAGUGGAACCAGUCCCGGGACUGCAGACGCUCCAUAGACUGUGAGAGAGAACAAGUGGUCAUCACAGAGAGCGCUUCGGCAUGGUCUACUCCUAAUGCAUGGCUGGUGGGAAGCUCAGUCCACGACUUGGUGUGGUUACUCCAGGGACGUACUGGAAAGCACAGAUGUGUUCUGGCCAGAGGACCACACCUGCGUGCAGGGGCACGGGCGUCCCUUUCUGUUCUUAAAGACAUCUGCCUUGGUCAUACCAGAAUUCAGGCUCAGAGUAGGAUUGAAUGGCUCCAACUACUUUGAAGUUCGGCAUGGUCCUACAGCUUUUUUGACCAAUAGAAUACAGAAGUGGUAGGUGUCACUUCUGGGCAGGAGCUUCAAGAGAAGGGCGAGCUUCACCACGUUCCCCUCCCCGUGCUGUGGGGAAUGUGGAAGAAGGUGCACAGGGGAGCCGCCACCGCCCUGAGUCCCUGCAUGUCUGCAACCGGCAGAUCCCUUCCCAUGCCCAACAGACAUUCAAUGGGAUCAAGAAGUAAACUCUUGUUGUUUUAAGCCACUAAGUUUCGAUGGUUAUUUU